AGGAUGAACGCUGGCGGCGUGCCUAACACAUGCAAGUCGAACGUCCUGUCUCGCAAGAGGCAGGGAGUGGCGGACGGGUGAGUACCACGUGGGUCAUCUACCGUGAGGUGAGGAAUACCGGCGAGAAAUCGCCGACAAGACCGCAUAGGCUCGAUGCAAGUCGAGCAAAGCUCUUUCGAGAGAGGGAGCGCCACACGAGGAGCCUGCGCCCGAUUAGCUAGCUGGUGGAGUAACGGUUCACCAGGGCGACGAUCGGUAGCUGGUCUGAGAGGACGAUCAGCCACACUGGGAUUGAGAACGGCCCAGACUCCUACGGGGGCAGCAGUGAGGAAUUUUCGUCAAUGGGGGCAACCCUGAACGAGCAACGCCGCGUGCAGGAGAAGGUUUCGGAUCGUAAACUGCUUUUCUCGGGAAGAGAAUGGACGGUACCCGAGGAAUCAGCCCGGCUAACUACGUGCCAGCAGCCG
rnacentral:rRNA from 1 species